UGGGGAAUCUUCCGCAAUGGACGAAAGUCUGACGGAGCAACGCCGCGUGGGUGACGAAGGUUUUCGGAUCGUAAAACCCUGUCAAGAAGGAAGAAAAAAGACGGUACUUCUGAAGGAAGCCCCGGCUAACUACGUGCCAGCAGCCGCGGUAAUACGAAGGGGGCAAGCGUUGUUCGGAAUUACUGGGCGUAAAGCGCACGCAGGCGGCGUGACGCGUCAGAAGUGAAAUCCCCGGGCUCAACCUGGGAACUGCUUUUGAAACGGUCAUGCUUGAAUCAUGGAGAGGGUAGCGGAAUUCCGAGUGUAGAGGUGAAAUUCGUAGAUAUUCGGAAGAACACCGGUGGCGAAGGCGGCUACCUGGCCAUGUAUUGACGCUCAGGUGCGAAAGCGUGGGGAGCAAACA
rnacentral:rRNA from 1 species